rnacentral:rRNA from 1 species
GAUGAACGCUGGCGGCGUGCCUAAUACAUGCAAGUCGGGCGAACGGACGAGAAGCUUGCUUCUCUGAUGUUAGCGGCGGACGGGUGAGUAACACGUGGAUAACCUACCUAUAAGACUGGGAUAACUUCGGGAAACCGUAGCUAAUACCGGAUAAUAUUUUGAACCGCAUGGUUCAAAAGUGAAAGACGGUCUUGCUGUCACUUAUAGAUGGAUCCGCGCUGCAUUAGCUAGUUGGUAAGGUAACGGCUUACCAAGGCAACGAUGCAUAGCCGACCUGAGAGGGUGAUCGGCCACACUGGAACUGAGACACGGUCCAGACUCCUACGGGAGGCAGCAGUAGGGAAUCUUCCGCAAUGGGCGAAAGCCUGACGGAGCAACGCCGCGUGAGUGAUGAAGGUCUUCGGAUCGUAAAACUCUGUUAUUAGGGAAGAACAUAUGUGUAAGUAACUGUGCACAUCUUGACGGUACCUAAUCAGAAAGCCACGGCUAACUACGUG